AGUGGACGCUGGCGGUAGGCCUAACACAUGCAAGUCGAACGGCAGCACAGUAAGAGCUUGCUCUUACGGGUGGCGAGUGGCGGACGGGUGAGGAAUACAUCGGAAUCUACUUUUUCGUGGGGGAUAACGUAGGGAAACUUACGCUAAUACCGCAUACGACCUACGGUUGAAAGCAGGGGAUCUUCGGACCUUGCGCGAUUGAAUGAGCCGAUGUCGGAUUAGCUAGUUGGCGGGGUCAAGGCCCACCAAGGCGACGAUCCGUAGCUGGCCUGAGAGGAUGAUCAGCCACACUGGAACUGAGACACGGUCCAGACUCCUACGGGAGGCAGCAGUGGGGAAUAUUGGACAAUGGGCGCAAGCCUGAUCCAGCCAUACCGCGUGGGUGAAGAAGGCCUUCGGGUUGUAAAGCCCUUUUGUUGGGAAAGAAAAGCAGCAGGUUAAUACCCCGCUGUUCUGACGGUACCCAAAGAAUAAGCACCGGCUAACUUCGUG
rnacentral:rRNA from 1 species